GCAUCCUUAGCUCAAUUGGAUAGAGCAUCUGACUACGGAUCAGAAGGUUGGGAGUUCGAGCCUCUCAGGAUGCACCA
rnacentral:tRNA from 1 species